CCUACGGGUGGCAGCAGUGGGGAAUAUUGGACAAUGGGGGCAACCCUGAUCCAGCCAUGCCGCGUGUGUGAAGAAGGCCCUCGGGUUGUAAAGCACUUUCAGUGAGGAAGAACGCCUGGUGGUUAAUACCCAUCAGGAAAGACAUCACUCACAGAAGAAGCACCGGCUAACUCCGUGCCAGCAGCCGCGGUAAUACGGAGGGUGCGAGCGUUAAUCGGAAUUACUGGGCGUAAAGCGCGCGUAGGUGGCUUGAUAAGCCGGUUGUGAAAGCCCCGGGCUCAACCUGGGAACGGCAUCCGGAACUGUCAAGCUAGAGUGCAGGAGAGGAAGGUAGAAAUCCCGGUGUAGCGGUGAAAUGCGUAGAGAUCGGGAGGAAUACCAGUGGCGAAGGCGGCCUUCUGGACUGACACUGACACUGAGGUGCGAAAGCGUGGGUAGCAAACAGGAUUAGAUACCCCAGUAGUC
rnacentral:rRNA from 1 species